rnacentral:rRNA from 1 species
GUGGGGAAUAUUCCGCAAUGGACGAAAGUCUGACGGAGCAACGCCGCGUGAGUGAUGAAGGUUUUCGGACUGUAAAGCUCUGUUGUUUAGGACGAAAGUGCCUGUUGCGAAUAGUUACAGGUAUUGACGGUACUGAACGAGGAAGCCACGGCUAACUACGUGCCAGCAGCCGCGGUAAUACGUAGGUGGCAAGCGUUGUCCGGAAUUAUUGGGCGUAAAGAGCAUGUAGGCGGGAAUCUAAGUCUGUUGUAAAAAUGCGGGGCUCAACCCCGUAUUGCGAUGGAAACUGGGUUUCUUGAGUGCAGGAGAGGAAAGGGGAAUUCCCAGUGUAGCGGUGAAAUGCGUAGAUAUUGGGAGGAACACCAGUGGCGAAGGCGCCUUUCUGGACUGUGUCUGACGCUGAGAUGCGAAAGCCAGGGUAGCGAACGGGAUUAGAUACCCUUGUAGUCC